UCGAGAAUCUUCCGCAAUGGACGAAAGCCUGACGGAGCGACGCCGCGUGAGUGAUGAAGUCCUUCGGGACGUAAAACUCUUUUAUGAGGGAGGAAGUAAUUGACGUUACCUCAUGAAUAAGGGGCUCCUAACUCUGUGCCAGCAGGAGCGGUAAUACAGAGGCCCCAAGCAUUAUCCGGAAUCACUGGGCGUAAAGGGUGUGUAGGUGGUCGUAUUAGUCGACUGUAAAAGAUCUUGGGCUUAACCCAGAAAACGCAACCGAAACGGUACGACUUAGAGGAUGUGAGAGGUACAGGGAACUCAUGGUGUAGGGGUGAAAUCCGUUGAUAUCAUGGGGAACACCAAAUGCGAAGGCACUGUACUGGCGCAUUCCUGACACUGAAACACGAAAGCGUGGGGAUCGAACGGGAUUAGAUACCCCCGUAGUCC
rnacentral:rRNA from 1 species